AUUGAACGCUGGCGGCAGGCCUAACACAUGCAAGUCGAGCGGAUGAAGGGAGCUUGCUCCUGGAUGCAGCGGCGGACGGGUGAGUAAUGCCUAGGAAUCUGCCUGGUAGUGGGGGAUAACGUCCGGAAACGGGCGCUAAUAUCGCAUACGUCCUGAGGGAGAAAGUGGGGGAUCUUCCGACCUCACGCUAUCAGAUGAGCCUAGGUCGGAUCAGCUAGUUGGUGGGGUAAAGGCCUACCAAGGCGACGAUCCGUAACUGGUCUGAGAGGAUGAUCAGGCACACUGGAACAGAGACACGGUCGAGACUCCUACGGGAGGCACCAGUGGAGAAUAUUAGACGAUGGGCGAAAGCCUGAUACUGCCAUGCCGCGUGUGUGCAGAAGGUCUUCGGAUUGUAGAGCACUUUAAGUUGUGAGGAAGGGCAGUAAUUUAAUACCUUGCUGUUAUGACGUUACCAACAGAAUAAGCACCGGCUAACUCCGUG
rnacentral:rRNA from 1 species